UACGUAGGGUGCGAGCGUUGCCCGGAUUUAUUGGGCGUAAAGGGCGCGUAGGCGGCUACGCACGUCCGUUGUGAAAUCGCUCGGCUCAACUGGGCGGGGUCAGCGGAUACGGCGUAGCUGGAGCAAGCUAGGGGGCAAUGGAAUUCCCGGUGUAGUGGUGAAAUGCGCAGAUAUCGGGAGGAACACCAAUUGCGAAGGCAGCUCGCUGGGACGUUACUGACGCUGAGACGCGAAAGCGUGGGGAGCAAACAGG
rnacentral:rRNA from 1 species